UGAGGUAUCUGUAGAAGUGAGGGAGGAGC
rnacentral:piRNA from 1 species